UUUUCCACAAAAUUCUAAGAUUUUAAUAUCAAUAUUUGAUAAAUAAUGUUAGGUACAUAAAAAAUACACACAAAGACACACAUAAAUUCCGAGUCUUCUCUUUGUUGUGGUGGAUACAUCACUAAUCUUUUAUUAUAUUCUUUUCUGGUGGAUACAUCACUAAUCUUUUAUUACAUUCUUUUCUUCUGGCUAAUGCUUCUCUGCUUUGAACUUCCAUUGGGACCUACAGUGAUUAGACCAGGUAGAUUGAAGCACAUAUAACCAAAUACAUUUUUUUCCUUGCACUAAGUCCCAAACUUAGUACAUUACAAAGGAACUGUCUCCAUGCACUAGAAAAGCUAGAAAUCUAGGUCUAUAAUUACUUUUACUAACUACAUUUGAGACCUGUCUUACAUUUAAAAGUAUACAUAUUAAUAUUGUAAUGCCUUGCUACCCAAUGGCAUUUUUAUAUUAAUAGUGCAGUUGCCACUGCAUGGAAAAAAAUAAAAACCCAAAUAUCUAUUUAGUCCACUUGAGAAUUUUCAUUGUAUUAGAGCCACUCCUGACUUAGAACCUUGUCUUUCUUACCUCCUUGAACUUUGAAGUAUUCACAUGAGUGUUUCUGUGCAUUGCAAGAAUCGAAAGGGAUGCAGUAGACUUGAUGAGCAGCUGUGAUGGUACUGAGGUUAAACCUGGACAUGGAAAUAUCAUAGUGGACUCCUCAAAAUUCAGAAAAACAAUUCCCAAGUAACAUAUGGACUUCCUAUAAAUUAACUGUACUUUCAAUUGUUCAUCUGAACUCAUUGACCCAAACAGGUUGUAAAUAUCCAGGGAGAAAGAUCUAGUUUUGAAUCAUUAUAAUAGGCACUGACAUGUAAGUUUUGAGUCACAAAGAGUAAAUGGGUACUCUGUAUUAUUUAUUCUUUAUCCAAGACAGUGCUAAACUGUAUUCAUUGCUCAUCUUAGUUUCAACCUUCUGUUGGUGAAAUACUUUUAGCUUCCUCACCUCCCAUCAUUUUAAAACAGUUCUAAAUUCUUUCUUUUCUUUUGAGGUAGUAUGUAGGGGAGAAGGGUAAAAAUUUGCUUGCAACCCAUAGCCAAACCUGGAAGGCACAACAGGGUCAGAGCUUCAUUGGGUGAGUGUGUGUUUCUGAUCCCAUUGAUUUCCCCUAGGGACAGAAAGGCUGAGCAGUAGUGACAUCCAGUCAUGAUUCUGUUACCUUGUUGAAAGUAGAUUCAGUGGGCUGGUAAGUCUCUCCACAUUCUCUAACAACAUUAAAACAUGCAGCAAGAAUAAUUCCUGAACAGAGAGAUUCUCAGGAGAAUUUUGUGGGUGCAUCAUGUUUCAUUUAUUGUAAUAUGUGUACUUUAAGUUUCUAGGUCAGAUACAUAUGUAUCUUCAUGUGACUUAUGUAAGUAUAAUGGACAACAGCUCACAAUUUACUAUUUACAGUCCCACAACCCAUGAGAAAGGGGAAAUGCAUUAAUUUAUGGUGAAAGUUAGGGGCCUUUUUUUUUCUUUACAGGGGGAUUGGGGUAAGAGUUUCCCCAAACACCCAGGUUGUAAUUCCUGCCAUGUUAUUAACAACACAGUAAAGCCAGUUUACCUUUUUAGUCUUGUUUCUUCAUUUACACAAUUUAAGUUUGAAUUGGAUCUUCCUUAAAGUACUAUCCCUGCAAAAACAAACAAACAAACAAAACUAUGGCUUUGUCUUGUUAAUUAUUUCAGUGAGAAGGCCUGUUCCAUUUGGGUGGAGGGAGGUGUGUAAUCAUGAUGCUUUCUUAGCAGCAACGUUGACAGAGCCGAGGAUGACUCCUCUGUGCAGCAGACACAUACAUGCAAGUUAGAGUUCCUGGUGAUGGAAAAAGAGAAAGACACUAAUUAAUUAGAGACACAGAAGAAACUAAAAAAGACAGUCCCAUCUCUGACCCUUAGCAGGACUUGAAGCUGACGUCCAGCAGACUUUCAUUCUUAGUUCUUGAUACUCCUGCUAUAUUUAUUGUUUCUAUCGUUUCUAAGCACUCAUUCCUCCCCUCCUCCACCAUCUCCCAGUUUCCCUCCUCAAUUAGUCAGUACCAACAAGCAGCCUAUCAUUCACAUUAUAUUGUUUUCCAACUCUAUUACCUGCCAUAGGGCUAAGUUACUCUUAGAGAGACCACUAGAAAAAUUAUAAGCAAGGAUUUUGAGAAAGUGUUCUUAGGAUACCUUUUUAGAAAAUGAAUUGCUGAGUCAAAUUACUAUAUAUGACACUUAAAGGUAUUGAUACAUACUGGGAAGAUUAUACCUCUGGAGGAGAUGCCUGUUUCUCUGAAUUACAUCAUCACUUUAUUGUCAACAUUUCCAAAGGUGUUUCAUUUUAAUUUCCAUUUCUUUGAUGACUAGCAAGGUUGAAUAUUUAAAUUUAUUAGCCAUUUACAUUUCUGUUUCUAUCAGUUGACUAUGUUGUCUCAUUUUCCUAUUGGUGAAUCCAUCUUUUGUACUGUUCAAUCCAGCUCUUUCCAGUACUGCUCAUUAAACCCGAUGAAUCUCUAAAGAAAAGGUGUUUAUUGAUAUGUUCUAGAUAUCAAACAUGUUGAGAGAAAGAUAAAGGGCUGAUUUUUCAUGUUUUCAAGCAAAUGAAAUAUCGUCCUCAUUCUCUGCAUGAAAAAGGACUCAACAGAGCAUUAAAUAAAUGUUUAAAAGAGGAAUACGUAGGCAAACUUAGAAAAGAGGAUAAAACAAUUAAUCUGCAUUCUUCCCCCAAUGUGCUUGGCUAUAUUUCAUCCUCGUAUAAUUUGAUCUGUUUUCUCCUAAGUCACAGAAAUAGUGAUUUUUAAGGUAUUACCGUCAGUCUUUCUGAGGUGAGGAACAUAGGAUCAAGGGUUAAAUCAGCACUGGCCUUGUGAUCCUUUUGUGCUGCAGAAACUCCUAUGCAGAGCUUGCAGGAAAAGUGAACAUUUCCAGCUUCCUCUACGACCAGGGCUGUGUUUAUCCAUGUCCUCUUUUGAGGCUGUUUCUUAAUAUAUAUUUAAAAGUAAAAGAUAAAUGGAAAUAAAAUAAGCUAGAGAUUACUUGAUCAAUAAGAAUAUAUAAAACAAUAAAAAUAAGGACCUACACAGAAAGCACCUACACAGACAAAAAGAACUACAACAAAGGAUUAUGGUAGGUAUGUCAGAGAAAUUAUUUAUAACCAAAAACAGUGCAACAAACCUAGGAUAUAAAGCUUGAAGUUCAAUUCAUAAAAUACUUUUAAAGAAAGGGUUGCAGAGUAUAUAUUUUAUGUUGUACAAUCAACCUUAUGGUCUGGGUCAGUUAAUAAUGUCAUUCCUUCCUACUGCACCCAUGAUAAAUGUCAUUAAUCAAUCCAGCAUUAUUUCUGACUGGGCCUGGAGAAAGCCUUAGAAUGAUUUCUCAACAAAACUCUCUAAGCAGCCAUUAUCAAUCAAGCAGUCGGCAUUGGAAUUGAAAGUUAUUGCCCUUUCAGUGCUUGACUCAUCUGCUAGAGGCAUGAGCAAUUUUAUUAACUUAAAACAUAGAUGAGCCAAUCAGUUUCUUUGCAGCAAGUUGAACCUUCCUAAUGUCAACAGCUUUCUGGCAUGGCCUUCUUUCCCAGCUCAUGAGUCUUCUUUAAACUAAAGCUCCCUAACUGGAAUGCAAGGACACACCAGUAGGUCAAAAUGGGUACAUAUUUAUAGAAGUUACUGAUUUCUUAGCCCUGAGGAAUCCAUUUGGGGAUGAGGAUGCCAGAAAUCCUGGGCUGUCACUUUUAGCCAUAAGCAGCCACAUCUGUUUACUCCAGUGUGCCAGUAUUAUAAUUUUAUACACAUAUAAUGAAAGAAAUAGAAAGUUUUGCUUUGAAUUAUGGACGAAUCAAUUCUGCCAUAGUCAGAGACAUUUAUUAGUACACAGGUGGUUCCUCUUUUUUAAAUGUUACCUUAAGCCAGUAGUUUUUGAAACCACAAUAAAAAGAUAUUUAAUAAUGUUUUUAAAUGAAAUGUAUAUAUAUUUACAUAUAUACAGACACAUCUCACUUAAAGACAGGGAUAUGUUUUGAGAAAUGCAUCAUUAGGCCAUUUCAAAGUUAUGUGAACAUCACAGAGUGUACGUACUUACACAAACCCAGAUGGUAUCGCUUACUACACACCUAGGCUAUAUGGCAUAGCCUAUUGCAAACCUGUAUAGCACAUUACUAUACCAAAUACUGUAGGUAACUGUAACACAGUGGGAAACAUUUGUGUAUCUAAAUACAUCUAAACAUAGAAACAUAGAACAGAUAGAGCAAAAAUACAGUAUUAUAGUCUUAUGGAACCACUGUUGUAUAUGUGGUCCAUCAUUAACUGAAACAUUAUGUAUCACAGUCAUGUAUAUGACUAUAUAUAUAGAAUCUAUAUAUAUAUAUAUAUAUGUGUGUGUCUUUCAUUCUGAGAUUCAACUGGUUCUACAUGGACUAAGAAUACAUUGGUCUGUGCUGCAUUUCCCAGGGCAUAGCUAUUGCUUGGUGUAUCUCCUGGCAUUCUAAGCAUGGAAGUAUAGUAGAUGAUCAUGUGUAUUUAAGGAGCAUUGUUUGAUUAUUGUAGGUUAUUUUGGUAAUAGAAGAUAUUAUAAACUCUAAUUGAGAUUAACUUCUCAUAAAGUGGCUUCCUAAGGCACGUGUAUCUUCUCUUUCUCAUUAAAAUCUACCUAACAUAUCCUGUGAUCUCUGAACACUUAUAAUUAUGGUGUUAGAUUGAUUUGAAUUAUAUUGCUAUAAAACAUUUCUAAAUAAAUUUAAGGUUUUUAGGUAUAAUUAAUCUUGAACCUUUAGCUAUAAUAUGAAGCACUGAAUGGGAAUCAGUUUGGAAACAUAAAACUAAAUAUAAUUUACACAUUAAAUACAAACAAAAUUAUAAAGCCAAUAAGAAGCAAAUUGACAAAAUUAAUUUAAUGUGACAGAUGAUUACUUUUUAAGAAAGCAAAUUAUGCUUACAUCACAAAGAUAAGCUGAAUGCUACAGAGCAAUUCUUCGAACCAAGCAGGACAAUGUUUCUUUUUGUCUCGUGACUCAGUCUCCUUCAAUCCUUUCUAAAACUGCUUUUGGAAUGAUCACUGUAAAUGCUCUACUACUUUAGAUCUUUGAAUGGUUCCUACUUACUAUAAUGACCCAAACAUUUCAAGGUAGUAGACAGGAUUCUUCUUAUUUGAGUUCUGCUUACUUCUAGCCUCAUCUGUGUAAUAUAAUCUACAAUUAAAUAAGUCUCUGUAGGUACUUCCAGUGUAAUGGCAGUGUGGUGGGGCUCCAGGUGACAUUUGCAGACAGAAAAAGUAAACUGUCAAGGAAUUCAGACCAUUGAGUACUUGCUAUUUGAACCAAUUUGAGGAAUCUUUGAUUUAUUUAUCAACUGCAACAGAAAAUGAAAAGUAACGUGGCACAGAUAAAACAUUCUGGCCAUGACAGAAGGGAAAACUAUAAUUCAUAUCAGAGAACCUCCUCUCCAGAAGACAGAUAUGCAGAACAAGAAAGAUCUCCAUGGGAUAGAGAUUAUUUUGAUUAUAACAGGUCAGACUAUGAACGUUCAAGAAGAGGACAUUCUUACGAUGGUAGCAUGGAGUCCCGAAGUAGGGACCAAGAAAAAUGCAGAGAAAGAGAAAGAAAGAGAUGUGGAUCAGAAAAGGUCCUGGAAAUCUCCAUCUCCUGGGAUAAGAAGCGCAGAACCAUCAGUAACCCAGAGUUCCUCUUCUCAGGAUGAACCUACUGCAAAGAAGAAGAAAGAUGAGCUGGAUCCUCUCCUUACUUACACUGGUGGAGCAUACAUUCCUCCUGCAAAGCACAGGAUGAUGCAAGAACAGAUUACAGAUAAAAACAGCUUAGCAUGCCAGAGAAUGAGCUGGGAGGCCCUAAAUAAGUCAAUCAAUGGUCUUAUCAACAAAGUCAACAUUUCUAAUAUAAGUAUUAUUAUUCAAGAGCUUCUUCAAGAAAAUAUAGUUAAAGGAAGAGGACUGCUGUCUAGAUCUGUUUUGCAAGCACAGAGUGCUUCUCCAAUCUUCACCCAUGUUUAUGCAGCAUUAGUGGCAAUUAACAACUCAAAAUUUCCACAAAUUGGCGAAUCAAUUCUGAAGAGGUUAAUUCUUAAUUUUCAAAAAGGCUAUCGAAGAAAUGAUAAGCAACUUUGUCUGACUGCUUCAAAAUUUGUGGCACAUCUUAUUAACCAAAAUGCGGCACAUGAGGUUUUAUGCCUAGAGAUGCUCACUUUGCUCCUGGAAAGACCAACAGAUGAUAGUGUUGAAGUAGCUAUUGAUUUUCUCAAGGAAUGUGGCCUCAAAUUAACACAAGUGUCACCAAGAGGAAUCAAUGCUAUUCCAGGAGUCUGAAAUUGACAAAAGAGUUCAAUAUAUGAUUGAAGUAAUGUUUGCUGUACGGAAGGCUGGAUUCAAGGACCACCCUAUUAUUCUAGAAGGAAAUGACUUAGUGGAAGAAGAUGAUCAGUUCACCCAUAUGCUCCCUUUAGAGGAUGACUAUAAUCCAGAAGAUGUUCUUAAUGUUUUCAGGAUGGAUCCAAAUUUUAUGGAGAAUGAAGAAAAGUACAAAACCAUUAAGAAAGAAAUUCUUGAUGAAGGAGACAGUGACUCAAACACAGACCAAGAAGCUGGAGGUAGUGAGGAGGAGGAGGAAGAAGAGGAGGAGGAAGAAGGAGAAGAAGAUGAAGAAGGACAAAAAGUGACUUUCCAUGACAAAACAGAAAUUAAUCUGAUCUCAUUUCAUCAUACAAUUUACCUUGCUAUUCAGUCAAGUUUAGGUUUUGAAGAAUGUGCUCACAAAUUGCUGAAAAUGGAGUUCCCUGAAAGUCAAACAAAAGAACUCUGCAACAUGAUACUUGAUUGCUGUGCCCAACAGAGAGCAUACGAGAAAUGUUUUGGCUUAUUAGCUGGGAGAUUUUGCAUGCCAAAAAAAAGAAUACAUGGAAUCUUUUGAAAGUAUAUUCAAAGAACAAUAUGAUACCAUCCAUCGCUUGGAAACAAACAAAUUGAGAAAUGUUGGUAAGAUGUUUGCUCACCUUUUAUACACUGAUUCACUUCCAUGGAGUGUUCUUGAAUGUAUAAAACUGAGUGAAGAAUUCACCACAUCAUCUAGUAGAAUUUUUGUCAAAAUAUUUUUCCAGGAACUAUGUGAAUACAUAGGUCUCCCUAAACUUAAUGCAAGAUUAAAGGAUGAAACCCUAUAGCCAUUCUUUGAGGGAUUAUUACCCCAAGAUAAUCCAAGAAACACUCGGUUUGCCAUCAACUUCUUUACUUCUAUAGGUCUUGGGGGUUUAAUGGAUGAAUUGCGUGAGCAUCUCAAAAAUACACCAAAGGUCAUCUUGGCACAGAAACCAGAUGUCGAGCAAAAUAAAUCCUCCCCAUCUUCCUCUUCAGCAUCCUCCUCUUCAGAGUCUGACUCCUCUGACUCUGAUGCUGACAGCAGCAACAGCAGUUCAGAGUCGUCCAGUGAAGAGAGCAGGUCUUCAUCUGCCAGCAGUCACAGCUCUGCCCCAGCUAAAGAAACAAGAAAGAAGGGACAAAGGAAGACCAGAAGUAAAGAAGUAGAUAAAUUGAUCAGGAGCCAACACAAAAAUGAUAGGAAACACGAAGAAAGAAGACUAGAACAAAGGCACCAGGAAACAAGGACUGAAAGAGAAAGGAGGUCAGAAAAACACAGAGAUCAAAAUUCAAGAGAUCCAAAUUGGAGAGAUCCCAUAAGGAAAUACAUGUCUGACAGAGAUGUUCCUCCUGAAUGAAAUAAUUACAGCAGAGUCCUGAAUGACAGAGACCAAGAAAUGCACAUAGAUUUGGAAAAUAAGCAUGGUGAUCCUAAAAAGAAGCAAGGAGAGAGGAGAAAUUCUUUUUCUGAGAAUGAGAGGCACAGACACCGAAAUAAGGACAGUGACAAUUUUAGAAGAAAAGAUAGAUCAAAGUCAAAGGAAAAAAAUAGAAAACAUUCAGGCUCUAGAAGCGAUGAGGAUAGGUAUCAGAAUGGUGCUGAGAGGCAAUGGGAAAAAUCUAGCUGAUACUCUGAACAACCCAGAGAAUCAAAGAAAAAUCAGGACUGCCAAAGGGAAAAGUCCCCAGCAAAGCAAAAGUAAUUCUACAAAAUGACAUAAACUGGACAUGCCUUAUAUUAAGUUGAAACAGAUUAUUUUUUACAUUGAUUGGUGAACUUUAUAGAGAAUUCUUGUAAAAAGUACUAGUUUGUAUUUAUAAAUUUUAAAAAUGUUUUCUUUGUAACAUGUUUUAUAAUUGAUACAUCUCAUGGUCCUCCACAUAAAAUUAUUUGAAGAGAACAGUUUCACUAGAAAGGGAUGUAAGUCUUGCUUAUAUUUUGUGAAUAAAAUGAUCAAAUACUGAAAAAAAAGUCUGUGUAAUUUGUUAUCAGCUAUGCUAUACUAAGUAUUUGCAAUUUCCAAAAAUAUCAUUCUGUUUCUUUCUUCAGACCAUUUCCAACAUGCUUUUCCCACUGUCUCUUGCAUUUACACCAGCUAAUGGCCACUCCAACAGAAACUGGAUUUUAUUAAUAGUAUCUUCUGGAAAACCCAUUGUAUUAAUCUUCUCCCUGUCCUUCUCCAGCUCUGAAUAAAUUGGCUCCCUCUCUCCGCCCCCCACAGAGCUCUAUACAUUUCUCUUUGACUAGUUUUACCACUCUGCUAUAAAUGGUUGGUUUAUUCUACUUGACUGUGAGUUAUUUGAGAGAAGGAUAAAGCCAAAUUCAUGUCCUAAGCACCUAGCAAAAAGCCUGACACUUUUAAAUCCUUUAUACAUAUUUUUGAAAUAAACAAAUGAAUGAGAUCACAUUCAUAAAAUUACCUCACAUGCUAGUUUCUGGUUUGAGCUCUAAUUUUUUGUUGUUUUAUUUGGUUUCGGUGUGCAUGUUUGUGUGUGCACACGUUUGUAUGUACUCAACAGGGAAUGCAGGAAGCUGGAUAGAAGGAGGUUUGGUGUGAGUUACUUCCCUCAGGGGGUUUCUGUGAGAUUUUUUUUCACCUUCUUUUUCUCUUUUGCUUUGUUUUCUAUCUUACUUUUGUGUAUACUCCCCAGCUCUCCCCUUCUCUUUGACCUGUGUUAGGCUUUUACAGUUUCAGAGUCUUUCUUUGAAACUGCAGUAAAGGCAGACAAAAGUGAAUUGUCCCUUGGAGCUAGAUUAGUUAUUUGUUUUUAUAGAAGUCCAGGAGAUACUUUUAUUUGAUUGCCAUAAAAUGUCAGGUCAUGCUGGUGUGUGGGUAUGCAGUUAGUCCUUUGAGUGAGUACCAGAUAAAUUAAUGCCAACAAAAAACCAAAUAACAACAUUAAAACUCUGGUACUAAAAUAUAUAUUUUCUCAGUAAAUUAAUAUUGUCUAAUGUUUUCUAUUUUUACCAUUUUAUUUUACUAGUCUGUAGGCUUUGUGUAAAAUUCCAGAGAGUCAUUCUUAUAGUUAAAAGAAGAAUAAUGAAAUAUUUGAGUUAUUUUGACAACAAUAAAGAAAUGUCUACUCAAAUCACUAAUGAGGAAGGAUAUAUUUAUUCCUCGCAUUAGCUUUUAUUAAAUUUGGAAGAGAAGAAGAACUUUUAAAGACGUCAUUAGACAUUGUUGAUAUACUUAAGAAAAAUUGGCUGCCAUAAAGAUUAGUUAUUCAGAAUUCCUAAACUCAUACAUUAGAACUGAAUUGAAAGCUAGCAUUGGAGGUUAUCC